CCUACGGGGGGCAGCAGUGAGGAAUAUUGGUCAAUGGGCGUAAGCCUGAACCAGCCAAGUCGCGUGAGGGAUGAAGGUUCUAUGGAUCGUAAACUUCUUUUAUAAGGGAAUAAAGUGUGGGACGCGUCCUAUUUUGUAUGUACCUUAUGAAUAAGGCUCGGCUAACUCCGUGCCAGCAGGCGCGGUAAUGCGGAGGAUCCGAGCGUUAUCCGGAUUUUUUGGGUUUAAAGGGUGCGUAGGCGGCCUUUUAAGUCCACGGGGAAAAUUUGGGGCUCAAACCUAGAAGUGCCGUUGAAACUGGGGGUCUUGAGUGUGUUAGAGGUAGGCGGAAUGCGUGGUGUAGCGGUGAAAUGCAUAGAUAUCACGCAGAACCCCGAUUGCGAAGGCAGCCUGCC
rnacentral:rRNA from 1 species